CACCGGCGGCUCGAGUGGUGGCCACUUUUAUUUGGUCUAAAGCGUCCGGAGCCGGCUUGGCAAGUCCCCUGGGAAAUCUGGCGGCUUAACCGUCAGGCGUCCAGAGGAUACUGCCAGGCUUGGGACCGGGAGAGGUGAGAGGUACCUCAGGGGUAGGGGUGAAAUCUUGUGAUCCCUGAGGGACCACCAGUGGCGAAGGCGUCUCACUAGAACGGGUCCGACGGUCAGGGACGAAAGCUGGGGGCACGAACCGG
rnacentral:rRNA from 1 species